GUCGAUAUGGUGGAAUUGGUAGACACAAGGGACUUAAAAUCCCUCGGUAGAAAUACCGUAUCGGUUCGACUCCGAUUAUCGGCACCA
rnacentral:tRNA from 1 species